ACCUGUGCUAUUAGAUUUCAUAUACAGAUUUCAUUUUUCUCUGAAGACUACAUUAAUUGGAAUGAACAUUCCUGUUUAUAUAAGGGCAGAAAAGGAAGAUAUCACCAUGCUGGAAAGCCUCACCUGACUUUUCUGGGCUGAUACUGUGCCUCCAGGGUAUUGCUGUGACUGUGAACAUAACCAGGGGCAUCUUCCUUUACUGUCUGCACAGACCAGGAUUUGCAAUGACUGUCAUAUGAUGGGAAGUGUUGGGGUUUGAGAUUCUGCUUCAGAAAUGAAUAAUUGUUGUAAUGUAAGUUUUCAGUGUUCUCUACAUUUUAUAAAAUCAGCAAAAGUUAUUUAAAAUAUUGUGUCUGUAAAAACAUCUUUAAAGGAGCCACUGCAAGGUUUCUUUUCUUGGCUUUAUUUUUCCUGUGUUCCUGCUGAAUGGUUGAUAAACCCUUUAAAAUUGUGUAGAAAAUAAUUUGGGAAAAGUAUUAGAUUUGCAUUAGGUGUGAAUUUAGUCUCACAUUAAUGAUGUGCUGCCAGCUAUUUAGAUGACAUUUACAAAAGAAGUAAAUGCCACUGGCUCAGUGCCAGAAAAACUGGAAGUAAGAGCAAGGAGAAAACAUUCGUCAUCCCUGAGGAUGAACAACAUAAAACAUGGCCCAGCUCCAAAGAGUUUUGUAAGUGUGAGGCAAGGUGCAGAACCCAGGCAGGCGGGAUGCAGGAGAAGGAUUUUGGGAUCCAGCUGUGUCAGGCACACCUGGCUCAGGCACAGCCCCAGGAGCACUCGCUGCUGCUCCAGCUGAGGGUGGGAGGUGGGAAAUAGGGCACAGGGACAAGCAGGGGACGUGGUCACAGCCUCACUCACUGCCCUGCCUUGCCAAGCCCCACACAGUCAGAUGUUUUAUGACAUCUGAGAAAACACCACUGGAAAAAAAAAAUGUUUUAUGUGGCCCAGACUGUUUUUCAUGCAUUCAAUUUCAUGCAUUCAAUUUCAUGCAAGCAGGAAUAUGACUCUUGCUGGCUUAAAAAUAGGGUUGUAAGUCCUUUGAAGCAUUUUUCCCCACCACUUUUUUUUUUUUUCAUCAGAAAAAAGACUUUGUAUUCUGUGAAAGGCACAGGACCCUGCUAGACAAAGUGGGAACAACCCCCCCCCCCUCCUUAGGAUAUUUCAAAAGCAAUGCUGCUGUGAUCAAUAAAUGAGAGAACAGGGGCAGAAAAUGGGUUGCAGGUCAAAAGAAUGUGAAAGGAAGGCAAACAGGAAUAAAAAAAGGAACCUGGACUUUUGCUGGCUAAACCAAAUUUCAAACACACGUAUAACCUAUAGACAAAUAAAAAUGUGUUUAUACAUCAGAAUGGAGAAUGUGAGUUCUGCUGUAUAUCUUGAAGAAGAACAGCAGCAGCAGUGCAGAUUUGUCCACUCUUCAGCACCAGCAGAUGUGGUCAGCAUUAAUAAUUUGGCAGAAAUGGAGAUCAAGGAGAUGACCCUCACAACCCACGGACACACAGAAGUCUCCUGCCUUGAAAACAAUCAAAAAUGAGACUGGAAAUGCUCAGAAAUACAAAACCAGUGGUCCUGGGAAAAAUAAAAUAAGUCACAGGUAUAUUUCACUUUAUUUAUUUGUUCUUCAUUUUGAUAGCACAUCUCAAAUUACACUUGGUAAUGAGAUCUUACAAAUCUUUCCCCUGCUCUGGGACAAAAAGCAAAAACCACUCAUGCAUAAGGUAUUGAAUGCAUUCACAUCAAGUAUGUUGUAUGUUGGGCUUUUGAACAUCAUAAAUAUGAGAACAUUAAACCAACUGGUAUUGGAAUUUUUUAACAAUAUCAUUGUUACAGAUCACAGCAGCUUAAAAGGUUUAACUCAAGUUUACUUAUUUCCAAUAUUUUUACUUGUAAAAGAUUCCAGUAAAGUUUGAUAAGAGAUUAAAAAAUAUAGAGGCCCAAAUACUACAAAAUAAUGUUUUAAAUAUGAAGCAUUUCUAUUUAGUUUGUAAGUUUUAAAACUCCCAAUGGCUUUUCUGCUUUGACUGGGAAUGCAGUUCUGAAAUUACUUAAGAUGAAGGUUAUGAAAUUCAUUUAUUUGUGAUUUUUAUGCAUCAUGAAACCUCUUGAAAGAGGUCUGGGCUUCCAGAAAUGUUGAACACCCAUCCUUUAAGAGGUCCUCAGCUAGAGACACAAAAUCUCCAUCUAUUCCUGCAAAUAUAAGCCACAACACUGGGGACCCACUAAUAAGAGUUCUCAGGUCUAAGAAAGCAGGAUAAGAAUGAGUAUAGAUUCUGUUAUGCAAGUUGAUUUUGCCUUUUUUUUUUUUUUAAGCUGUCACCUGAAUGCUUUGAUAGCCAUCAGGAACAAGAUAUUUUUGCAAUAGAGGGAUAGAGUCUAAUUGUAGAAGGGGAAGAAAAACUACCUACAGAAGCCAAGAUCAUGGUAAGAAAACGAAUUUAUUGAACAUCUUUUCUGAAAAGACUCUACCAUGCACAGGUGAAAUAUUGCUACAAACACUUGCUCUGAUCCUACAUCAUGCCUUAAACUGCUUUUUGAAAUAACUAAGGGAUGAAGGUGCAAGAUGAACCCAAGGAAACACCUGGGGAUGUACAAAAACACAGGAACAAAUCCAGGUGUUGUAACAUGGAUUAAUCUUAAUCCCUGGCUACCAGGCAUCUGCUUUCUAUAUAACCCUGAGUCAGUUCCUAGGAGCUUGUAGCAACACAGCUGGAAACAACCCUAAACUUUCAAUCUGGGACAUGGGGACUGUUUGCAAAGGAGGACAAAGCACGGGAGGAGGAAAGCUGGGUUGGGACUAACUCGGUUCAAGGGUUACAUUGAAUUAAAAAGCCAGCUCUCUGUCUUUUUAGAACAGGAAUUCAGACCUCUUUUUUUGCAUGUUGUAGGAUCCCUCAGGUGUCUCUGCAGCUCUCAGGUAUUAAACCACAAAGCUGCAAGAUCAAAGUAGUCCAGAUGCUCUGACAGAAGUAGGUAAGAGCGUGCAUCACAUCCACGUGGUGCUGAGAUCUCGGCCAUCGCACCGGCUGCUGACGGCUUCGUAAACACGUUCACUCCAGUUAUAAACUUACUUAUUUCUUGUGCCAAGACUUCAAUGUGCUUCAGUGCAUGAAGGAAAUUUACAACCCACUCCAGGAAUAUAUAUAUGUAUAUAUAUUCCAGCUCUCCCUUUCAUUUCAGUGAAAAAAAAAAA